rnacentral:rRNA from 1 species
CGCAAAACAAAGCCCAAUAUUACGAAYAAUAGUUUAAAAUUCAAAGAACUUGGCGGUGUCUUAUAAAACCAGGGGAACCUGUCUCAUAACUCGAUAGCCCACGACACACUCAACCUUCUUUUGAAAUCCAGCCUGUGUACUGCCGUUGUAAGCACACCUCUAAAAGCAGUGUGCUAAUAUGGUUAAUAGAUUUAUACUAUUUAGCCCACAUACAUCAGGUCAAAGUGCAGCUAAUAGGAAGGGGAUGAUGGGUUACAACCUAAAAAAAAGAAAUAGAUUAAAAACUUAAAAAUUUUUAUAAAAGUGGACUUGGCCGUAAUUAAAUAAAAUUAUAAAUAAAUGAAUAUUCUUCUAAGACAUGUACACAUCGCCCGUCACUCUAUCCCAAAGGAUAGAUAAGUCGUAACAA